AUUUAUUUAGUAUAAAAGUAUAUUUGACUUCCAAUCAAAAGGACUGGUUAUCUAAUCAGAAUAAAUA
rnacentral:tRNA from 1 species